GAUGAACGCUGGCGGCGUGCCUAAUACAUGCAAGUCGAGCGAACAGACGAGGAGCUUGCUCCUCUGACGUUAGCGGCGGACGGGUGAGUAACACGUGGAUAACCUACCUAUAAGACUGGGAUAACUUCGGGAAACCGGAGCUAAUACCGGAUAAUAUAUUGAACCGCAUGGUUCAAUAGUGAAAGACGGUUUUGCUGUCACUUAUAGAUGGAUCCGCGCCGCAUUAGCUAGUUGGUAAGGUAACGGCUUACCAAGGCAACGAUGCGUAGCCGACCUGAGAGGGUGGUCGGCCACACCGGAACUGAGACCCGGUCCAGACUCCUACGGGAGGCAGCAGUAGGGAAUCUUCCGCAAUUGGCGAAAGCCUGACGGAGCCACGCCGCGUGAGUGAUGAAGGUCUUCGGAUCGUAAAACUCUGUUAUUAGGGAAGAACAAAUGUGUAAGUAACUAUGCACGUCUUGACGGUACCUAAUCAGAAAGCCACGGCUAACUACGUG
rnacentral:rRNA from 1 species